UCUCCCCCAGAAGUAUUGCAAAUGUGGCUGUUGUGUCACAUGUGUGUCAGUAGGUGGCAGAGUGUAGACAAAGUGGAGAGACUUUGUCUACACUCUGCUCUGACCUAUGAACAUUUAAAUGAUUAGUAGCCUUCCAUU
ensembl:snoRNA